UUUGGCUACUCGAAUGUGGUUGUUUGGUUUUCAUUCCCUUUGAAAGUUUGAUGAUUUCUGUCUGUCCCGAGUUCCUUUUCCCCUUCCUAAUGUCUCUUUAUGCCAAUGUAUUUCUCAUAAUGUUGACUGUGUGUCGUGUUGGUUGUUCAUUCUUUGUUAGUCUUCAUGUCUGGCUACUUGUGUUAGUUUCGAUUUGUUUGAAGUGAGGGAGACGAGCUAUUCAUUUCGAGUUGCUCAAACGUCCAUUUUGUGUUGGUCUGCUCCGUUUUCCUUUUCUUUUGAUGCUAUUCUUAUUAGAUUUUAUUUGCACAGUUUUAUUCAUUUCUCUUUACAUUGAAGCAUGCUGAAAAAUGAUUUUAAUGUUUGAAUCGAAGUCAUUUUUUAUUUGAUGGUGUUUGGUUGCCUCAUUCUUCCAUUCCCUAUUUGUUGUUUGAUGUUUAGUUUCCCACUGCCUAGCGUACUGAUAUUUGUUCUUAUGAUACCCACUUUUAAGCAUAAU
rnacentral:lncRNA from 1 species